GAUGAACGCUGGCGGUAUGCCUAACACAUGCAAGUCGUACGAGAGUUUUUAACUCUAGUGGCGGACGGGUGAGUAACACGUGAGAAUUUGCCUUUAGGAGGGGGACAACAAUCGGAAGCGAAUGCUAAUACCCCAUAUGCUUUCGAGUGAAAUGGAUUUUAUCCGCCUAGAGAGAAGCUCGCGGCUGAUUAGCUUGUUGGUAAGGUAAGAGCUUACCAAGGCGACGAUCAGUAUCUGGUUUGAGAGGACGAUCAGACACACUGGAACUGAGACACGGUCCAGACUCCUACGGGAGGCAGCAGUGGGGAAUUUUCCGCAAUGGGCGAAAGCCUGACGGAGCAAUACCGCGUGAGGGAAGAAUGCCUAUGGGUUGUAAACCUCUUUUUUCUAGGGAGGAAGUCAAAUGACGUGUACCUGAAGAAUAAGCAUCGGCUAACUCCGUG
rnacentral:rRNA from 1 species